AAAAAGUAAACCACUAAUUAUUGAAUUAAGUUUUCUAACAUUUUAAUUAAAGUCUAUGCAUAAAACAUCACCUUGAUAUAAUGAGCUAUUUACUUAAUUCUACAGGAUAAGUGCAUGUAACAGAAAGUGAAAUGCCAACAAUCUUGCUCUGAUGUCUUCUUCAAAGCAGUGUAACUCUGUUUUAUACUUGACUGAACAAGUUUAUAACCAUUCU
rnacentral:sRNA from 1 species